rnacentral:rRNA from 1 species
UACGUAGGGUGCAAGCGUUAAUCGGAAUUACUGGGCGUAAAGCGUGCGCAGGCGGUUUUGUAAGUCUGUCGUGAAAUCCCCGGGCUCAACCUGGGAAUUGCGAUGGAGACUGCAAGGCUAGAAUCUGGCAGAGGGGGGUAGAAUUCCACGUGUAGCAGUGAAAUGCGUAGAGAUGUGGAGGAACACCGAUGGCGAAGGCGGCAUCCUGGACCAACACUGACGCUGAGGAGCGAAAGCCAGGGGAGCAAACGGG